GAUGCAACGCGAAAAACCUUACCUACCCUUGACAUGUCACUAACGAAGUAGAGAUACAUUAGGUGCCCGUAAGGGAAAGUGAACACAGGUGCUGCAUGGCUGUCGUCAGCUCGUGUCGUGAGAUGUUGGGUUAAGUCCCGCAACGAGCGCAACCCUUGUCUUUAGUUGCUACGCAAGAGCACUCUAAAGAGACUGCCGGUGACAAACCGGAGGAAGGUGGGGAUGACGUCAAGUCCUCAUGGCCCUUAUGGGUAGGGCUUCACACGUCAUACAAUGGUGCGUACAGAGGGUUGCCAACCCGCGAGGGGGAGCUAGUCUCUUAAAACGCAUCGUAGUCCGGAUCGUAGUCUGCAACUCGACUACGUGAAGCUGGAAUCGCUAGUAAUCGCGGAUCAGCAUGUCGCGGUGAAUACGUUCCCGGGUCUUGU
rnacentral:rRNA from 1 species